AAAGUGACGGUACCUGCAGAAGAAGCGCCGGCUAACUACGUGCCAGCAGCCGCGGUAAUACGUAGGGCGCAAGCGUUAUCCGGAAUUAUUGGGCGUAAAGAGCUCGUAGGCGGUUUGUCGCGUCUGCUGUGAAAGCCCGGGGCUCAACCCCGGGUCUGCAGUGGGUACGGGCAGACUAGAGUGAUGUAGGGGAGACUGGAAUUCCUGGUGUAGCGGUGAAAUGCGCAGAUAUCAGGAGGAACACCGAUGGCGAAGGCAGGUCUCUGGGCAUUAACUGACGCUGAGGAGCGAAAGCAUGGGGAGCGAACAGGAUUAGAUACCCUGGUAGUCCAUGCCGUAAACGUUGGGCACUAGGUGUGGGGGACAUUCCACGUUUUCCGCGCCGUAGCUAACGCAUUAAGUGCCCCGCCUGGGGAGUACGGCCGCAAGGCUAAAACUCAAAGGAAUUGACGGGGGCCCGCACAAGCGGCGGAGCAUGCGGAUUAAUUCGAUGCAACGCGAAGAACCUUACCAAGACUUGACAUGAACCGGAAAGGCCUGGAAACAGGUCCCCCACUUGUGGCCGGUUUACAGGUGGUGCAUGGUUGUCGUCAGCUCGUGUCGUGAGAUGUUGGGUUAAGUCCCGCAACGAGCGCAACCCUCGUUCUAUGUUGCCAGCGCGUAAUGGCGGGGACUCAUAGGAGACUGCCGGGGUCAACUCGGAGGAAGGUGGGGACGACGUCAAAUCAUCAUGCCCCUUAUGUCUUGGGCUUCACGCAUGCUACAAUGGCCGGUACAAAGGGUUGCGAUACUGUGAGGUGGAGCUAAUCCCAAAAAGCCGGUCUCAGUUCGGAUUGAGGUCUGCAACUCGACCUCAUGAAGUUGGAGUCGCUAGUAAUCGCAGAUCAGCAACGCUGCGGUGAAUACGUUCCCGGGCCUUGUA
rnacentral:rRNA from 1 species